AGCGCCCGCAGGUGCCUGUGCCUGUGUAUCCCGACAAUAAACCAAAUCCUCUUGCUGAUUGCAUCCUGUGGUGUCUCGGUCUGGUCUUUGGAGUUGGAGGGUCUCCAUCCCGAGGGAAAGUUCUCCCUGAGAGCUUUUCAUUUGGUGCAUUGGCCGGGAAAGGAGAUCCUCCACCCAGGGACCACCGACCACCCACUGGGAGGUAAGCCGGCUGGCGUCUGUCUGUCUGUCUGAUUUUGUCUCGUUCUGCCUUAUUCUGUCUGUUCUGUGAGCGCUCAGCCGGGUCUGUUCUGUGAGCGCUCAGCCAGGUCUUUUCUGUGAGCGCUCAGCCAGGUUGUUUGGAAUUUGGGCGGGACGAAGAAGGAGCUGACGAGCUCGGACUUCUUGCCCCGCAGCCCUGGAAGAUGUUCCAAGGGUGUUAGGGGCCCGACUUUUCGGGGCCCAAUCUGGGAGAGGAAAAAGAUCCGGACUAACGGCACCUCUGUCUGUAUUUUUGGCUUUCAGAGGGCCCCGGACCUUUGCCACCUCCAUCUGACUUUUUGCUUUCAGUUUGGUACCAAAGCCGUGCAGCACGCCUGUCUGUUGUUUGUUUGACUGUUGGUGUUGUUUGUUUUCUCUGUGUUCUAAUCUUCCUUAGAACUAACAUGGGACAGUCCCUAACAACGCCCCUAAGUCUCACUCUUGAUCAUUAGAAAGACGUCCACGACCGGACACACAACCAGUCCGUCGAGGUUAAAAAAAGGAAAAUGGCAGACUCUCUGCACAUCCGAGUGGCCCACUUUCGGAGCGGGAUGGCCAGUGAAUGGCACAUUUAAUAAGAUCAUUAUUUUACAGGUUAAAGAUCGGGUCGUCCACGGACAUCCUGACCAGGUUUCUUAUAUUAUCACUUGAGAGAGUCUCGCCUUAAACCCCCCCCCCGGGCGGAACCCUUCAUGGACCCGAAUUGGCCUCCCCUCAACCCCCAGCCUGUCCCCUCG
ensembl:lncRNA